GGUUAAUCAGGAAGAUGGUUAAAUUUAUUAUUUUCUUUGACAUCUAACUACUGUUUCUGCCACUACUUGAAAAAUAGCAAAAACCUUUGAAUUUAUUAUUACGAUGGAAUUUUUCAAAGAUACAUUAACAUGAUGUUGAUAGAGAAAUUAGACUUGAAUUACAAACUAAGGCUCUAUCACCUUCCUAAAUUCCACUAUCCUAAUACAUUUUAUUUUCUUUAAUUUAUGCUUUAAAAGUACUCAAGAUUCAGAGGAAUACUGAGAACAGGACCUCCGUUAUGAACUUCUAAUAAUUUACCAUACAGAAAAUGGUAAUAGUAAAAAAUAGACUUGCAGUUUCCUUAUUGAUCCCUAUUGACAAAGUUCUGCUGAACAAGUUUCAGACAUAAGUACACAGGGAAGGACCUAUGGCAGUGGGAUAGAAGAAAAGCUCUUUCAUGUAAGAUGUAUUUUAAGACUGAAACUCAAGGCUACAGCUAAGCUGGUACACUACAGAGAUGAUUUUCUGAGUGGAAGAAGCAGUAAAAAGCUCAGGAUACAACCCUCCUGCCCUUCCUCUAUCACAGUUGUUGCUAGCUGUAAUCAAUUAACUGCACUCAACCACACCUAUGCUGGUAAAGAAACUGCUAAACGUUGUCUUGUGGGGUGUAGUGCAGAGCUGAAAGCAGUGCUAUUUCCUAGUGGUAAUUAUUUCCCAUUGACUCAGACCAAAGGACGGUGUGGACACCUCACAAACAUAUCCUUCUUCCAGCCAGUGGGGUCCUGCCAAUCUCCCUUGGAGUGGUCGGUUGAAGUGGAGCAGAUCAGUUGUGAAGCGCAGUCCCAGUUGCUUCAGAGGUAUGCGGCUGAUAUGGAGAAUAUGUCAAGUCAACUGGAUGAGUCAGCACGGGCAACAUAAAAGUACCCUCUAACACAUCCUGGAAAUAUUAUUCUGCCUGCUGUUCUUAUCUCACUUCACGUGAAUGCAUUUUGGCUUCUGCACAAGUCACUGUAGCGCUUUUACUUAAUUCUGUAUCCUUUCAGUAGCUUCAUGUAGUCAUCAAGGAACUUGUAAAGAUUCUAUUGACUUUUAGGAACAUGCUUGUUCCUUGUGGGAUUUCCUUUAAAAUUAUUAUUGGUUCCACUUUGUAGAAUAUCCUGUGAUCGCAGCAAGUGAAUAUGCUGAGUUUAAAAUCAUAAUUGUCGUUUACAUAAAACAACACAGAGAUACUGAGAUUUCAUGUAUGUGAUGAGGAAGGAAUGUGGCAGAACGAGCAACAUGGUACCUGUUGCCUGUUUUGUCAUCCUGGGCUUUUACUGUUGGGCUAUCUUUUAGUCCUUUCUAGUAGACACUAACAAUUAGAGGACUAAUAUGGAGAAAUAAAAGUAUAUGCAUAUUAUAUAGUGAGUAGAAUCUUACCAUUGUUGGUUGAUAUUAAAAAAGUGUUAUAGAGGAAACAUUUCAAGAUAUUUUCUGCUGCUUUCCAUGAAAUUAAGUAAUUAUUAGGACUUUUUCUGUGUAUGUCAGAGACUUUCUGGAAAAAGAGUCAUCUGAUUAAGUAAAACAGUGAACACUGAUCAUUCCUGCAUUCCUGCUUUCCUAAAUGUGUGUUCUUUGUUGACUUUCAAUCUAAUAGUAUUUAAAAUAAAUAAGCAAUAUAAAAUAGAACUGUAAUAUAUUAGAGGGAAGGCCUUAAUGAACACAGUUUGCUGUCUCAGCACAGCUACAAGGUAGGGAAUUCAGCAUCCAGUGCUGGCCUUAGCCCAAAGCAGGGUGAAAGAGCACUAAGGCUUGUGUGCAGAAGUUGAACAUUCUUUCUGGAUCCUGAAGGAAGCAAUUCAUUACAUCUUCCAUCCUUCAUCACUAGAAGCAUGGCAAUAGAGAAACAUAGUUCUGGUUUUGCUUACCUCUGCAGCAAGCACAAGCAUGGAGUCUUGCAAAUAAGGAGAGCAAUUUCUGUACUAAGAUGUGUUAGAUAAACUCUUUAACUCAUAUUUCAUUAUCUUCUUGAAUAAGCUGCAAAUGCUUAAGAAAUAUAUUUUCUCAUAUUUUAAUUCUGAAGAGGAGGUGAGUUUAAUGAAUGGUUGUCUCCUACUUCCAGUCUUGGUGCUAUUUCCUAGAAGGUCAGUUUGUAAAAGCAGAUAAGAUGUAAAUUAAUAGUAAAAAGAGGGAAGAUACAAUUUCAAGUAGAAAUUAAUAUCAUUUUUAAAGUAAAGUUUUAGUGUAAGGCAUCAGACUGGU
rnacentral:lncRNA from 1 species